rnacentral:lncRNA from 10 species
GUGCUGAAUCCAUUUCUCCCAGUGUUAAAUUCAGAAUGCAGCAGAAGCUUUCAGAAGAACAGCUGGAGAUUUAGCCUAGCUAGGAGAACGCGGCUAGUCAGCAGGUCCAAGGCAGCAGAACCGUGUGAGGCUCUCUGGUCCCAAGGGCCAGGGUCAGGGACCUGCCCUGGUGGUCGCACAGCCUGGCCUUGGGGCAGAGCAGGAGUGGCAAGGGUCAGAGGCACAGACUUGGAUGCUGUCAGCUUCCUAUGCCACCCUCCAUGGGUGGUGGCACAUGCCAGCCGGGCAGUGACAGGCAGGAAACACCUAUAUGAAGAUGCUUCGGAAUGCCAGAGAUGCUGUGGAUCCACAGUAGAUCUGAAUGCCUGGGUUUGGUAGCAGUCACUGGGGAAUGGCAAGGGAAGGCGUAUGCCCGAGACCUUGUCACCUGGAGAAGGAAGGAUGAAAUGCUCAUGCCUAUAGACCCACUAUGUGCUGGGCUCAGCACCAGGCCAGAAACCAUAUCUGAACCAGCGAGACUAGAGUUAUUUGAGGAUGAUCCCUAGAAUGGAGAUUUCAAAUCACACUGUGCAAAUGAAUCCCCUGGGGACUUUGUUAAAAUGCGGAAUCUGACUUGCAAGCUCUCAGGUGAUGUGGAUGCUGCUGGUCCACAAACCACACUUGGAGUAGAAAAGCCCUAGUCUAGACUGCUAAACUUUUAUGAAGGAAGGUACUGGAACAGGCAUGUCUUGUUCUCUGCUCUAUCCUCCAGGUCUAGCAUGGUACCUGAUACAGAAGUGUGGAGGGGGAGGGCAAGGAGGCUCAAUAUAUGCUGUAUGAAUAAAUGAGUGAAUGAAUAAUGAAUAUUGGAUCCAUUCACAUGCUUAUACUGGCCUUUUUAACCAGAAAAGUGAUGCAUGUCCAAGGUAACAUCAUGAAAAGCAAGCCUUCCCUCCUCUCUGGGCUUCUGGACACCUUUUGACAGGUCUUCACUUAUUUUGUUUUAUCCUUUCAGAAAUUAUUGUUAAUAUACAUCUUUUUUCCUGACACAAAUAGCAAUAUAUUACAGGCAUUACUCCACGUCUUGUGGCUUUUUUCAUAAUAUCUAUACUGGGGAUUGCGGAGUCUGAAUCUUUGUGUCUGCCCCAAAGUUUAGAUGUUGAAACCUAACCUCCAAGGUGACAGUGUUAAGACGCAAGGCUUCGGGAGGUGAUUGGGUCAUGGGGUGGAGCCCUCAUGAAUGAGGCUAGUGCCCUUAAAAAAGAGUCCUGAGGGAGCUUGUUAGCCCUUUCACCUUUCCAGCCGUAUGAGGACACAAAGAAAGCACCAUCUCUGAGGAACAGGCCCUCAACAGACACUGAACUUGCUGGCCUCUUGAUAUUGGACUUCCCAGCCUCUGGAACUGUGAGCGAUAAAUUUCUGCUGUUUAUUAAUUCCCCCAUCUCAGAUAUUUUGUUAUAGUGGCCCAAAGGGACUAAAACAGAGAUUGUUCCAUAUCUGCACAUAUAGAUUUACUUCAUUCCUUUAAACAGCCAUAUAGGAGUCUAUUCCAAAUGCCUUUACUCAUUCCCCUUUUGCUGGACAUUUCCCAUUUUACAAGUCUUUUGCUGUUUCAAACUAUGCUACAAUAAACACCCUUGUAUAUAUAUCUUUGUGCACAUGAAAGCAAUCUGUUGAAUAAGUUCCUGAGUCAAAGGGUGCCUGUACUUUUUAUGAUGCUAGAUAAUGUUUAAUUGCCUACCAAAGAAGUUGCACCAAUUUUGCAGACUCAUUAACAUUUUAUAAGAAUGUCUGGUUCUGUUUAAAUUCUAUAUACUGUCGGUUUUUAACCUAAUCAACUUGAUAAGUGAAAAGGAGUCCUUGUUUUCAUUUGAUCUUAUUAAAUAUGAAUGAAAUUGGAUAUCUUUUCACACGUUUCUAUACCGUCGUAUUAACUAGUAAAGUGUUAUUUAGGAACAUUAUCAAUGUUGCACAUUGAUUUGGGAACCAGAAGCCUGAAUUCUCUUACUGUUUUGUUUGUUUGUUUGUUUGUUUGUUUGAGACAGUUUCACUCUGUCACUCAGGCUGGAGUGCAGUAGUGAGGUCUCGGCUCACCACUACCUCCACCUCCCAGGCUCAAGCGAUUCUUGUGCCUCAGCCGCCUAAGUAGCUGGGACUACAGGCACAUGCCACCAUGCCUGGCUAACUUUUGUUGUUGUUGUAUUUUUAGUAGAGAUGGGGUUUCGCUAUGUUGGCCAGGCUGUUCUCAAACUCCUGGCCUCCAGUGAUUCACUUGCCUUGACCUCCCAAAAUGCUGGGAAUACAGGCAUGAGCCACUGUGCCUGGCCUCUCCUACUGUUUCUAAUAGUGUUUUUUCAGUUUAUUUGUUGGGUUUUCCAGUUAUACAAUCA